AUGAUGGCAGACAUAAAUAUACUCUACGCAGGUAUCCUGAAGAUGGACCACCCAGCGUACGCAAUGUUCAUGGCACUUCCAUGGUACAUAUACUUAGCUGAAGAUGUCAGUCCCAAUGGGAUAAUCACGGUCAGUGGCGACUUCAAAUACUCGCAUGACUGUGAGGUGGCUAAUGUCAACAUCAACAAGUUCGAGUUGUCCGCCACCGGGAUUGUCGAGCUUGAGAAGGUAGUAGAUCCAGAGGAAGCUCCUCUGAGCAAGAAGGUCAACUCGGCCUCCACGGACAGACAACAAGAAAAUUCAGGUGCAACAGGCAACAUCGUCAAGACCGCUGAGAUCGGCACCGACCUUAGCAGCGCAUAG
rnacentral:rRNA from 1 species